AGCAGCCGCGGUAAUUCCAGCUCCAAUAGCGUAUAUUAAAGUUGUUGCAGUUAAAAAGCUCGUAGUUGAAUUUUAGGCCUGGCCGGGCGGUCCGUCUUUGGCGAGUACUGUUCUGUGUCGGGUCUUACCUUCUGGUGAACCGGCAUGUUCUUUAUUGAGUGUACCGGGGAGCCAGGACCAUUACCUUGAAAAAAUUAGAGUGUUUAAAGCAGGCAUUUGCUUGAAUAGAUUAGCAUGGAAUAAUAGAAUAGGACGUUGGUUCUAUUUUGUUGGUCUAGGACCACCGUAAUGAUUAAUAGGGAUAGUUGGGGGCAUUAGUAUUCAAUUGUCAGAGGUGAAAUUCUUGGAUUUAUUGAAGACUAACUAUUGCGAAAGCAUUUGCCAAGGAUGUUUUCAUUAAUCAAGAACGAAAGUUAGGGGAUCGAAGACGAUCAGAUACCGUCGUAGUCUUAACCAUAAACUAUGCCGACUAGGAAUCGGGCACGUUAUUUUCAUGACUCGCUCGGCGCCUUAUGGGAAA
rnacentral:rRNA from 1 species